rnacentral:rRNA from 1 species
UACGAGGGGGGCAAGCGUUGUUCGGAAUUAUUGGGCGUAAAGGGCUCGUAGGCGGCCAACUAAGUCAGACGUGAAAUCCCUCGGCUUAACCGGGGAACUGCGUCUGAUACUGGAUGGCUUGAGUUUGGGAGAGGGAUGCGGAAUUCCAGGUGUAGCGGUGAAAUGCGUAGAUAUCUGGAGGAACACCGGUGGCGAAGGCGGCAUCCUGGACCAACACUGACGCUGAGUGAGCGAAAGCCAGGGGAGCAAACGGG